UUAUUUUUUACCCACAUAACAAAAAUGUGUUAAUACCCUAUAGUUAUAAUAAUAUAUAUAUAAAAAAACCUGAACAUACUUUAUCUUGUUUAAAACCAUUCUCGUCAGUUGUCAUCACACAUACCAUUCAACAGAGUGAUCAACCACAUAACGUAAGACACUCAUUGUCUCGGAAUGUAUUAUUACUUUUUUUUUGAAAUUUGUUUUUUAGAACAUCUAAGAAACACACGCAGCUGUAAAAUGCUAUUUUUAGCACCCUUAUUUCAGGGAGUGAAACCGCUAUCCACUUUUGAUUUU